rnacentral:rRNA from 1 species
AUAUGGCAGCACAGUCCGUACCAACCGUAUCAGGACUCCAAGGUGAAGAGCCUCUAGUGGAUGUUUUACACAUGUAAGGGAAUUCGGCAAAAUGGAUGCGUAACUUCGGGAGAAGUAUUGGUUCAAUUGUGAACUCAUUGUGACAAGGGGAAUCUGACUGUUUAGUAAAAACAUAGCUUCAUGAAGAGAGAUGAAGUGAGUUCUGCCCGGUGCUCGGUCGUGACACGGAGGAAAUGCCAGAAAGCACGGGUUAACGGCGGGAGUAACUAUGACUCUCUUAAGGUAGCCAAACGCCUCGUCAUUUAAAUGGUGACGCGCAUGAAUGGAAUGACGAGAUUCCCACUGUCCCUACAUGUAGACUAGCGAACCCAUUUCCAGGGGAACGGGCCUGGACGGCCAGCGGGGAAAGAAGACCCUGUUGAGCUUGACUCUAGUGUGGCCAAGUUGUGACGAUUGAGGCGAUGUAGGAAGGUGGAGAGCGCAAGCAGAAGUGAAAGACCACUGCGCCAUGAUCAUCACGACACACUUGUUCAAGGACAAAGGCCAGAUGGGGAGUUUGGCUGGGGCGGUACGACCACAGAAUCAGAACGUGGUCGACCGAAGGUACUCACAGCGAGACGAGAACACUCGUGUAGAGCAUAAGGACUAAAGAGUGCCUGAGUGUGAGCACUACUGCUUGCAUGAGGGGAAACCCGGGCCUAGCGAUCCUACGCAUACGAGACACUUGUGGCGUGGGUGUCAGAAAAGUUACCACAGGGAUAACUGGCUUGUGGCCGCCGAGCGUAGAAAGCGACGCGGCUUUUUGAUUCUUCGAUGUCGGCUCUUCCUAGCAUGGCCAUGCAGCCGUGGCGAAGUGUUGGAUUGUUCACCCACUAACAGGGAACGUGAGCUGGGUUUAGACCGUCGUGAGACAGGUUAGUUUUAUCCUACUGUCCAAACAGUUGAAGGGAGUGUGGAUUAGUACGAAAGGAAACCCACACGUGACCUCUGGUGCAGCGGGUGUGCGGAAGUGCAACUGCCAUGCUACGUCUCCUCAAGCAUAGCUGGAAGCCUCUAAGCUAGAAAUGAGUCCUGACUCUGGAAGACGGCCGGGAAGACGACCCGUAGUUAACAGCGGUGUUGUACGAUAUGAGCUUUCUAUUUGU